rnacentral:rRNA from 1 species
UACGUAGGGACCAAGCGUUGUUCGGAUUUACUGGGCGUAAAGGGCGCGUAGGCGGCGCGGUAAGUCACUUGUGAAAUCUCUGAGCUCAACUCAGAACGGCCAAGUGAUACUGCAGUGCUAGAGUGUGGAAGGGGCAAUCGGAAUUCUUGGUGUAGCGGUGAAAUGCGUAGAUAUCAAGAGGAACACCUGAGGUGAAGACGGGUUGCUGGGCCAACACUGACGCUGAUGCGCGAAAGCCAGGGGAGCAAACGGG